rnacentral:lncRNA from 1 species
CAAACACUCUCCUCUUUUUUUUUCUCCACAAUUUCGGGAUUACGAUCUUGUCUCAUCGCUGCAACUCCCCAACUGGCUCUCGGGAGAGGCGAAGGUCGAGUCAUGUGACCUCCGGAAACAACGCGAUUCUUAACACCAGCCCCGCUUAAUCCAGAAGCCAGCUGCACCACUGUGUCGGACGAAACACUGUUCAACUGACGACCAGGUUCAGCCUGCUGGCGCCCUGCCCGCCACAAGGAGUCGCUAGAGCGCGAUGAGCCAAUUAGAGUGUAGGGGGGCGGCAGGUAGCCUAGUGGUUAGACUGGAGGGGCGGCAGGUAGCCUAGUGGUUAGAGUGGAGGGGCGGCAGGUAGCCUAGUGGUUAGAGUGUAGGGGCGGCAGGUAGCCAAGUGGUUAGAGUGGAGGGGCGGCAGGUAGCCUAGUGGUUAGAGUGGAGGGGCGGCAGGUAGCCUAGUGGUUAGAGUGGAGGGGCGGCAGGUAGCCUAGUGGUUAGAGUGGAGGGGCGGCAGGUAGCCUAGUGGUUAGAGUGGAGGGGCGGCAGGUAGCCUAGUGGUUAGAGUGGAGGGGCGGCAGGUAGCCUAGUGGUUAGAGUGUAGGGGCGGCAGGUAGCCUAGUGGUUAGAGUGUUGUGCCAGUCAUCCAAAGGUUUACUGGCUCUAGACACCACCCUGCAGAUUGACUGUCGCCUCUAAAGUCAGCAGUUCAUGGAGAUUGGAGAGGAUCCUCCUCUUCAGGGAGAUUGGAGAAGGGCCUCCUCUUCAGGGAGAUUGGAGAAGGGCCUCCUCUUCAGGGAGA